UGAAGGAAAGGAAUCAAGGAUUGUGCCAAACAAAAUCACACUUGGAUGAAGUCCUCAAAACUCUUAAUCCAGCCAGAGAUAACGAGAAUAGUCAUCACUCAGUUGUUCUACCCUCACACAUUAUCACCUUCACCCGGACCUGGUCUUUAUAUAAAUGACUCGCAUACACCUGUGAUGAGUCCUUUCCAUCUCCUGUCGGAAGCUUUACGAGAGCUGGCUGGGGAAGACCACAAUGCUGGGACAGCGGCCAGGCCCGGGCAGCUGGACAAUACCCCGUCACGCCGUUAUGCAAUGUCUGGCGGGACGAGACAAAGUGGACCGCGCUGGACACAAUAUCAGCUCGUCAGGUACAUCCUUUCUGCUGGAGGGGAAAUCAACACCUACCGAGUGUCCUUCUGCUGACCACACCAUUCCUGACAGAUGAAGGCGGGUGCUGAAUACAUCCAGACUACAAACCUACUUCUAGGAGGAGAGAAAAAACUGACUUGGGAGUCUGACUAACACAAGAAUGAAGCCUUUUGGAACUCCAAACUGUUUUUUUACAAUAUAUACACUGCGCUUUCCCAGAUUCCUUGCAUUAUAGUGUGGACGGUGAAUGCAAAUCUGCUUCAGAUGACAGCAGAUGCUUGGUCUAGUCCUGGAAUGUAAAAAUAAAAUCUUAUUUUCUGAA